rnacentral:sRNA from 1 species
GCACUAGCAAAAUCUAGUGUCAGGAUUGGCGUUCUGAAUUUGUACAAGGCGACACAUGACGCGCCUAGCGUCUUUUUU